AUGCCUUGGAAGCAUACAAACUAAAAUUGGAACCACAUAGAGAAGAUUAACAUGGCCCCUGCACAACGAUGACGUGCAAAUUCAUGAAGCAAUUCACAUUUUU